CCACACCUGCAGCAUGUGGUGGUUCCCAGGCUAGGGGUUGAAUCAGAGCUAUAGCUGCUGGCCUCCACCAGAGCCACAGCAACACAGGAUCUGAGCUGCAAUUGCAACCUACACCACAGCUUACGGUACACCAGAUCCUUAACUUACUGAGCGAGGCCAAGGAUUGAACCCACAACCUCAUGGUUCCUAGUUGGAUUCAUUUCCGCUGCACCACAACAGGGAUUCUGGCAUAUUUAUUUGUUAAGGUAGGAACUGGAUUAAAUUGUCAUUGACAAUCACAGCCUUUGUAUAUACUACUGUACCAGCUAAUAAUUUAAUAAAAUUAAUCAAGAAUAUUGCAAAUAUUAAAGUCAUGAUGUAAAACUAUUUGAUCUCUUAGAAUGAUCUAUUUUGGCAUAAAUCAUAGCAAAAUUCUACAUCCCCACUUAAUAAAGAUAACCAAUAUAUUUUAUAAAUGUAAAUAAAUAUUUACUACUGGUGAUGUAUUUUACCUUUUCUGAGUUCUAUCCAUUAUUCCUUUUUUCUUAGAACCCAUUUGAAUGUUGAUUUGGAAGGGGAUAAGGGGAGUGGCAGGAAGGACUAGAGUUUAUGUUUGGUUUAAUAAUUAUUCAUUAUGAUAUAUCAGUCAGAGAAAGCCCUCCACUUAGGGUUGAGUCUUUGACUCUUUGAAUAUCUUUUGAAGAAAAUAUUAUAGCUGGUUAUAAAUUAUUCUUAAUUUUUAAAUGUUUUUAUUCAGCCUAUUGAAAUAUGUAUAAUCAUCCAUAGCUUUUCAAAAUUCUAGGAACUUUUCUGCAAACCUAUCAUGUUUAAUAUUUGUCUUUAUGUUGUCCAUAACCAUCCUAAAGAAGUAAUUUUGUAUUCUAAUAGGUGUACUUCAAGUACAUGGACAUUAUAAUCAAUGACACUUUACUUUAGUAGAAUAAUAAUUGUAAUCACAGACUUUGUAUUCAAAAAGACCUAGAUUGGAAUAUCAUUAAUUGUGUGACUUUAGUGAAUUGAUCAACCUGUCUAAUCCUCAACAUCCUUACCAAUAAUAAUAUUACUUAAAGCACAGUAGUGGUUGUUAGGAUUAAAAUAGAUAAUGCUUAGAACAAGUACUUGACUUUCAGUAACUGUACAACUAAAUGGAGAUAUCAUUACUAUUGCUUUUGUUACUGCCACUGCUGUUGUGUUAUAAUGACCUGUAGGUCAAGUAUACAUAAUAAUGUACAUAAAUCGAUUAGCACAAAGCUAGGUAUGCAGAAAACACUCAAUAAUUAUCUGUUGUUAUUUUGUCAUUAAAGUACAAAUCACUUAGCACUGACUUUGGUAGAUGCUCAAUAAAUAUCAGUUUUGGGAUGCAAAAUACAAAUACCUCUGGGGAUGCUGUAAUAGCUUAAUUCAGAGUGACAUCGUCUUUCAUGCUAAACAGACAUGAGUAUCUGUCACUCCUCUGCUACUUCCAACCUAUGUGAUUCCUGCAACAUAAUUAUAAACUCUUGAAGGAAACAGUGUGAAAGGCUUUGAAAUGGGCCCGAAUGGUUGUCUUCAAUAGGAUACUAGGUGCUUUCUAAGGGUGUCCCCCUAAGUUGGUUGUCUGGUUUCAAUGGGUCUCCAUACCUCUUGUUGCUUAGGAGCUAUUUUACAGCUCUGUGUAUUAUAGACAACUGGCAGCACUGCAAAUUAUUAUUUUCCAUAUGCAUGAAAAUAAAUUUUGUUCUAAUAGAAUACAGUUGAUUUCCCUUUCUCCUUUUGGAAUAUAGUUUUGCAUCAAUUUAAAUUUAUUUUAGUGUUUGUGUGUGUGUUUUAAUUCUCCUUAGAACCAUUUGUAAUAUCUUCCCUGGCUCUCUCAUUAAUUAGUGGGUUAAAUAAAAUCUUUACACAUGUUCCCAUUUUAUAUCUGUAUGAGUUAUGAUUAUAUGAUAAUAUUCUCUUCUAAAAAUUAUCCUUUUACACCCUCACUAUAUUUCAGCUACUCUUAUCACCAGAACUGUUCUAAAUUUUUUUCAUGUAUUAACCUUAGAAGUCAGAUAUACUAUACUCUGUGUGCAUGAUAUCCUUUUAAAAAACUCACUACAGGAGUUUCCUUGCGGCACAGUGGGUUAAGGACCCAGUGUUAUCACUGCAGCACCAAUCCAUUUCACUGCUUAACAGUUCUCUUACUUAGGUGGUAUUUCUUACACGCAGUUCUAAUCUUGGCUAUUUUAACUUUCUUUUCCUAAUUUGCUUAUCCAUUUGUUUGGUUUCAUUUUGUUUUGCUAUUUUCCUCAUGACCAUGUUUCAAAAUUUUAAAUACAAACGCUAUUUCUAUUCUCAGUAACUUCUUAAAGCUAAAGACGGCCUCUUCCUUCAUCUUUUUUUUAAUAUGACAUAUUGCCCAAUUAUUUACCUUUCUGAUUGUCCUGUAGUUUAUAAAGACUAUCCUCAAAAUAUUGCGUCUGGAACUCAAACCAAAUCCUAAUUGUGAUCUGAACUAAAAUGUAGUCCUGAACCAUCAUGGACUAAAACAAAUAUUUCCAAAUAUUCAACCUAAGAAUACUCUAUUUUUCACUCAUUUGGAGCUUAUUUUCAGCUAACACUUUCAAGUCUUUUUCCUACUAUUCCUUUUUUUUUUUUUACUUGCACAUUUAACAUUUUGAAUUACGAGUUAGAAAUUUACAUGUAUCACUUUUGAUAGUAGUGAUUGUCAAUAACAAUAGGUAACACAUUUAACACAAAAAACAACUCUUUAAUAUAAGAUACUCCUAUAGACUUAAUUAUAGUAUGUAAAGCAUACAGUAUUUCCUUUUGGCUAUUAGGAAGUACUUAAUAAAAUAGAAGUUUGCUUCAGCCAUCGAGCACUUAACCUCUAAUUUAAUGCUUCUCUAAUCAUUGUCAUUGUAAAUCUCACAGGUAGGUGACCUGAGUUGCACUCUGAUCUCCAGCUGGCUAGCCACAGUUGACCUAUUGCACUAUAGAAAGAUGUGACACCCGUUCAUUAGUCAAUUCUUAUCAUUUUUUCUUUUUCCAGUGAGGAAAGUAUCAAGUUGGAGUUCUUGAUCUGUAGAUAGUUUACUUUCAGCUUGGAUGCUAAAGAUCAAUUUGAAUUUAGUCUCUUUAACUAUGUAGCACUUUAGAGUCCUGCUUCACAAUGCUUAUAUAUUUCCCAUUUAAACUGAAAAGUGGAGUUCCUGUGGUGGCGCAGUGAUUAACGAAUCCGACUAGGAACCAUGAGGUUGUGGGUUCGUAUCCCUGGCCCCCCUCAGUGGGUUAAAGAUCCCGCAUUGCUGUGGUGUAGGUUGCAGACUCGGCUUGGAUCCCGCGUUGCUGUGGCUCUGGCAUAGUCUGGUGGCUACAGCUCCGAUUAAACCCCUAGCCUGGGAACCUCCAUAGGCCACAGGAGCGGCCCUAGAAAAG
rnacentral:lncRNA from 1 species